CUGGCCCUGAAUCAAGGCCAGCAGCUUCCUGACACUGUUGGUUUCAAGCAGGAGCCUAAAGAGAUGUUUUUCUAUGGCCAUUUCAGAACUUGGGCAGUGAAAUGGUCAAUUCAUUAGAAAGAAACAGCU
ensembl:snoRNA